CCCUUAGGAUGCAGAGACCACCAACAUACUCCUUCCUGACUUCAUUGUACCCAACUGGGAUGACAUAAGGGCUUCCCACGUGGCGCUAGUGUUAAAGAACCCUCCUGCCAGUGCAGAGGAGAUAAGAGACGCGGGUUCGAUCUUCUUGGGAAGAUCCCCUGAAAGAGGGCAUGGCCACCCACUCCAGUAUUCUUGCCUGGAGAAUCCCAUGGACAGAGGAGCCUGGCGGACUACGGUCCAUGGGGUCACAGAGUCAGACACGAUGGAAGCAACGCAGCACACAUGCCCGCAAGAUGACAAUAAAUAAGGCCGUUCUGUUUCCAGGACACCCAAAGCAUCUCAGGAGGUGUCAGAAGAUUCUCAGAGAGGGUUGUUGAGAGGCGGUGCAGGACCCAGAGGGAGAACAGACGAAAGCUGAAUUUCGCUGAUGUGGAGAUGACCUGGGAGCCGAAGAUCUGACUUCGGUUCCUGGUUUUUGCCCCUUCCCGCCUCUUGGGCUUGACUCUUUUCUUUCUCUUGUCCUCUGAGGCCUCAGUUUCCCCGCCUGAGAUGUGCAGCCAGAACAGUUUGCUAAUCCACCGCCCAUGGAUGCGCGGAAAAAAUAUUUUGAAUUCCCACCAUCUUUUUUUCCUUUGAAUGAACUUGUUUAUCCGCUGGUCAGGGUCAGAGAGGGUCGAGGAGGAGGAGCAGCGAGGGGAGUGCCAUCCAGCUAAGCUGACAUGACGCGUUGGAAGGUCAGAGCCCACGGACCCCUGGACAGAGGGCCGUGUUGUUGGGCUUCGGAGUGCCCUUCUGGAAGCCAGUGGCCGGGUCUGAUGCAAGCGUGCCAGGAACUCCUGGGCCUGAAGAUCCCUGCUCAGAACAGAGGAGGCAAUGGAUUCUUUUGGAAAGGCUGUCUUUCGGCGUCUCAUCUCCAUGCAGUGGCUGAGCCUAGUGCCCUGUGUAUUUGCACUGGCUGGGACGCUGAAUUCACUGGAGAUAGAAGAAAACCAAGACACUCAAGACCGGCAUCGCCAGCUCCCUGAGGGGAAGGAGAGGUCCAUGGUACCCGAGCGCCACAGCCGCCUCCCCCGACCACCAUCGUCUGCUUUCUAAAUAAACCCCCGAGACGGAGCCGUGGGGGGUUAUAA
rnacentral:lncRNA from 1 species